GACGAACGCUGGCGGCGUGCCUAAUACAUGCAAGUCGAACGCUUCUUUCCUCCCGAGUGCUUGCACUCAAUUGGAAAGAGGAGUGGCGGACGGGUGAGUAACACGUGGGUAACCUACCCAUCAGAGGGGGAUAACACUUGGAAACAGGUGCUAAUACCGCAUAACAGUUUAUGCCGCAUGGCAUAAGAGUGAAAGGCGCUUUCGGGUGUCGCGGAUGGAUGGACCCGCGGUGCAUUAGCUAGUUGGUGAGGUAACGGCUCACCAAGGCCACGAUGCAUAGCCGACCUGAGAGGGUGAUCGGCCACACUGGGACUGAGACACGGCCCAGACUCCUACGGGAGGUAGCAGUAGGGAAUCUUCGGCAAUGGACGGAAGUCUGACCGAGCAACGCCGCGUGAGUGAAGAAGGUUUUCGGAUCGUAAAACUCUGUUGUUAGAGAAGAACAAGGACGUUAGUAACUGAACGUCCCCCGACGGUAUCUAACCAGAAAGCCACGGCUAACUACGUGCCAGCCGCCGCCGUAA
rnacentral:rRNA from 1 species